rnacentral:rRNA from 1 species
GAUGAACGCUAGCGGAGGCUUAACACAUGCAAGUCGAGGGGCAGCAUAGGGUAGCAAUACUCUGAUGGCGACCGGCAAACGGGUGAGUAACGCGUAUGCAACCUACCCUGUACAGGGGGAUAACCCGGAGAAAUUCGGACUAAUAUCCCGUAAUAAUAUCCGGAGGCAUCUUUGGAUAUUUAAAGUUCCGACGGUACGGGAUGGGCAUGCGUAACAUUAACUGGUUGGUAAGGUAACGGCUUACCAAGGCUAUGAUGUUUAGGGGUCCUGAGAGGGUGGUCCCCCACACUGGUACUGAGACACGGACCAGACUCCUACGGGAGGCAGCAGUGAGGAAUAUUGGUCAAUGGGCGCAAGCCUGAACCAGCCAUCCCGCGUGCAGGAAGACGGCCCUAUGGGUUGUAAACUGCUUUUCCACGGGAAGAACCCUCCGACGUGUCGGAGACUGACGGUACCGGGGGAAUAAGCAUCGGCUAACUCCGUG